rnacentral:misc_RNA from 1 species
UACCUAUCCAAUAAGGGCCGAGUUCAUUUUUAGAGUGAAAAGGGCAGAGCCCAUGAGAUUCCUGUUCAAAUCUUUGCUUAUCGCUGACUGCAACUUAGAAUUGAAGCAAUCAAAUCUAAUUUCUCUCUAAAAUAAAAACAAAAUCCUGACAAACAGAUCCAGUUCCCAGAAGACAGAUCCAGUUCCCAAAAGAAAUGGAGAAGAUGAACCAAGCAUUCGAGAAGAUGAAGAUGCUAGUGGGAAUGGAAGUGGAAGACGAAGAGCAAGCCCCGGAACCAGAGGACUCCAGUUCCUUCUCUUUCAUGGACGAUUUCAAUCGCAGCUGCACCCUCUCCACCAAACAGCGGCUUUACGGUUUUGCCAUAUGCUUUGUUUCUGGCUUAGCUUGUACCCUUUUGGUAAGUUAACGCAUUAUCAUAUCCCCCUUUCUUUCCGUUAUCGUUACUGCAGCAAUUCUUUAGUACCGAGCAAACUUUAUUUAUUGUUGAAUUUGCUAUUUUCUUGAUUAGCUCUGAUAUUGCUACUGUUUGCCAUUUCUCUCUGGAAAGAUUUAGAAUUUUGCAUCAGAUGCUUUAAAGAGCUCUUAACCAUGUCCAAAAUCUGGGCAUUGGAAAAAUGUUGCACAGCAGCUCCUUCUAGCAACUUUUAUGGCUAGAUCUGUUAUUAGAGAUCUAUAAUAUGAGACAUAAACGAUUUUGUUUAAUUUCCCUUCCAAUAAGUUUGACCAGUUUAAUUUAAUACAUGAACUUAGCUACCAAGCAAUUACCUAUAAUUUUCUGAAGCUAGAAACCAAGAUAAAAUAGCAAGAGAUGAACUUUAAAACUAAUUCCUGCUGAAGCAAUUAGCUAUCAUGUUUGUGUCAAAGGUUUUAGAGUGGCCUAAACAUGAUACAACACAGGCCCACCUUUAAUUUGUUUGGUUGAUGAAGAUCUUCACGUAAUUCAGGUACAUUCCGUUGUCAUCCAAUCAGAUUGGCCCUGGCUUUAAGCUUGCAUAUGCUUUAAAUCCUUUUAGUGAUUACUUAUGCUACCAUAGAGACCAAUAAGAUUGCUAGGCCUUUAUGCUCUUUUUUUUGGGUUUACAUAUAGGUAGUUUUUAAACAUAAAUUCUAUUUUCCUAGGAACAAAAAUCUCAAAGUUAUAAUGCGUAAAUAGGUAAAAAUGGUGUAUGGUCCUAAAUAUCAUAUUGCAAUUUGUUCUUAGAAUUUUGAAGUGAGGAUAUUACUGAAACUCAUUGCAGUGCUUUCCUUUUCCUAGCUAGUGCUUACAAGAUUUUCCAUAGCACAUAAAGGAACUAAUCUGCUUUCUCUUCUAUUCAUGUCACAGUCAAUGCUGGUCUUUUUCAAUCCAGUUAAGUUUGGGAUUACGUUCACAUUUGGCAAUUUGCUUUCACUCGGAAGCACAGCAUUUCUAAUAGGCCCAAAACGUCAAGUGACUAUGAUGCUUGAUCCUGUUCGUAUAUAUGCAACAGCCUUGUAUCUUGCAAGUAUAAUUAUUGCCUUGUUCUGUGCGCUAUAUGUUCAUAACAAGCUUUUGACACUUUUGGCAAUCGUUCUUGAAUUUGGUGCACUGGUUUGGUAUAGCUUGAGCUACAUCCCCUUUGCAAGGUCAAUGGUUUCAAAGAUCAUGCUAGGUUGCUUUGACACUGAAUUUUAGGCCACAGAAGGGAAAACUGGUCACAGUGAUUGGAUUUGGAGUACACAACUCAACAUGAAUGUUAAUGUAAAUUUUGUGCAGAUUUAUUCUAGAGAGUUCGACCUCAAAUGUACCGAUGUUCAAAAUUUAGUUGUGAUCAGCUUUUGUACGAAUAUUAAAUUUAGCUGUCCCAUUUCAUACAUCCAUGCCCUCUUACUCUCUGGCUUAUAACUUUUAGAAUAAGAUGCUCCAGUUUUUGACCUGUGCAAUUCAACUUUCACAUUACAAUUAUCGUUUUAGGAAAGUAGGAGUUCAUCCAAAAUUUUAGUUCCAGGCUCUUCAAUUCCAAAUUGUCAACGAUCUGAGAACUUGGAGUUUUAAGUUAGGAUUUUGUUUUUCUUGAAAUACGACGACUCGAUUUUUGAUUGGCACAGCUCAAAU